AAAGAGUUGGGCUAUAAGUCAGAUGACGUGCACAUAUUAGGCAAAAUGUUGCACAAAAUUAAUGUAAUAUGGUUUGAAGGAUGUGACAAAUACGCUAGCUAUUACCUGGAGGUGAGAUCGCUCUGUUGGUUUUAAAAUUUAUUUUUGUUCUUGUUAGUGUUGAUGAGAGUAACAAGACAAUAGAUCUGUAUCAAACACCUUGGGUACCAUGUCAUGCACGUUUAGGACCGAGGUUGGCCAACCUUAUAGAUGGUACCAAGUAUAUUACUUCACACCUUAAUUGCCAAGGUAACUCAACUUGCUUCUUACGUCGAGAUUCCUCAUUUUAUGUAAGAUUUUCCUUGAAUAGCUCAAUCAUGAUAACCAAACAAUCCUCCAUUAAUUACCGGAUCUAUGAUAUUUCGAUAAUAACUCGGAUUUACACCAAGAUCUCCUGACCUUCAAGAUAGGCUCGAUAUAGCCUCGAUAGCGAAUAUCUCCAAAGAUACUCAAUCAUAUCCACGAUGAACCACAUAAUUGGUUCAACACGCUAUAAAUCCAAGGGGUGUAAAUUUACCCUCAAACAUAGCCCCCCAUGUCUUGAAGGAAAAUCCAUGCGUCUUGACUGAAAAGACCUAUACCCCCAUGCUGCGAAAGCCACUUACUGGCUUGACCAGUAACUCCAAACUAAGAAAAACACUUGGCUCGAGGUCUGUUGAAACAGACCUCAGAGAUAGGGCUUGAAGCUUGAAAGACAAUAAGCAGCAGCUAGGCAAUCCAUAUAAAAGUACAAUUAAUUAACCAAUAUGAUAACCAAUGCACUCUACAUAAAUACCUUGCUUUUGAAGACGAUGAAACACGUCUUGACCAGAACAUGCCUUAAGCUUGUGUCGAACGGCUUAACGUGGAGAGGAAGCCCCCCAUGCUUUAUUAAACAUAGCACAAGACCACAGGCAUUGGUUAUAACAAUAACUGAAUAGAAUUUAGCUCAAAGUAGGCACAUUUCAUGAAGCCAACUUCAGAUGAAUCGAAUAAGCUUUUGUGUAACCACUUACUGGUGGUUUAUGAUAGAACAUUAAUGUAUGACGUCAUAGCCGCUGAACUGAACCAACUCUUUCGUGAGAAACUUCCAAGAAGCCAAGAAACCAACUCCACAAAAUGGGAUGUGAAAAAGCUGACGAGUUUGGCUGCUCAGGAUGCCAACUUCAGGCACGAUUUACGCCAUGCCCGGAUGAUUAGUCUGAUCAGUUCUUGGCCUGGGAAUGUAGCAUAACAUAUGUAAUUGAAGGAUUGAUGAAGCGAAUGGCCAAAGAAACCAUGAAAGAUGGCGCGGAUGAUCUCUCAAAACAGCUCCAGGAAAGCUGAUUCUGAAAUUUCCAGCUUUUGCUUAUUUUCUGGCUGACUUCCUGAACUUUGUAUCUUGAUCGUCCCAUAGCUGAUAUGGAUGA
rnacentral:lncRNA from 1 species